AAUCAAUGAACUUGUAAAAGUGUAUAUUUUGAAAAUAUAAAAAAGAAUAAAAAUUCUAUUGAUUU
rnacentral:tRNA from 1 species